UCCCUGGUAGUAUAUCGGUUAGUACACGCGCCUGUCACAUACUGGUACAUCUCUGGUUCGCGCGAAAGCUGGGUUCGACUCCCAGCCAGGGAG